AACAACAAAAAACUGGUUCUUUUUCUUACAAGGAUAAAGAGAUUGAAGUACCUCAUCUUAAAACAUCUUUAAAGGCAAGCUACCAAACUCUUCAAGCUAGAWCUAUCUUUAUAUUUUGUUCGGGAUGAAUUCAAUCUAUCAUGGGUAAAAGGCACCCAGSUGGCAACAUUGUUUGUACUCGUAUGGAAACAGUUGAUACCCCCUGCAAGGAACUAAUUUCAACAUACUUAGUACGAGAGCUGAAGAUAUUUUUAGCGAAGACCGCAUGUUAAUAUGAUAUAGUUCUAUGACAUAGUUUACGCGAUAAAAAACCACAAAGRCGCGAAUAUUAUUAUCUGUGCUAGCAUGAAACUCGUACUGCCCAUGGAUCAUCCCCAUUGUUAUCAUAUACACUACAAUUGGUGUUGAAAAGAUUAAAUAUUAUAAUGCAGGCA